rnacentral:tRNA from 1 species
GGGGAGUUAGCUCAGUUGGUAGAGCGCGUCGUUCGCAAUGACGAGGUCAGGGGUUCGACCCCCCUACUCUCCAC